UAAACUUUGGGUAUUAUUGGCGGCUAUCAGCAUUAGAUUGUUCAUAAUUUGUACAGUAAAGCAUGGCUGAGGUAAAGACUUUGUUGGCAGGAUUGUUGACUCUAUGUUUGGUUAAUUCGUGCUUUUGCAAUGCUUGGGAUCAUUAUAUAGAAAAUCUCACACAAGGUCCACAUAUAGAUACAGCUUCCAUAAUUGGUCUAGAUGGAUCCAGACGUACAUCACCGAACGGCGCACAGGCGUUAAAAAUGUCACAAGCGGAAGUGGAUACAAUUGCGGCUUCCUUUAAUUCUAAAGAUUUCACCAAUUUUAUGAGGCACGGUGUCAAUGUAAGUGGUGUUAGAUAUAUGUUUUUGAGAGUAUUGGAUGACAAUAAGGUUUUCGCUAAGCGGAUAAACCACGGCGGCAUUGUAAUGGUGAGUUCAAAAACAGGUGUGGUUAUUGCCCAUUAUCCAGAAGGCAGUGAAAUGAACAUUGCCGGAACACACGUUGCGCGUCUAGCUGAGUUCUUGGUGUCGGCCGGGUAUUAAUACCAAAUUACCUAUAAGAUUAUCUAUAAGAAUGACAACUUAUUUCAGAAAAUAAACUAUUCAAAUGCA